rnacentral:rRNA from 1 species
UACAGAGGUGGCAAGCGUUGUUCGGAAUUACUGGGCGUAAAGGGCGCGUAGGCGGUCUUUUAAGUUCCGUGUGAAAUCCCUCGGCUCAACUGGGGAACGGCACGGGGAAACUGGAAGGCUUGAGUUCGGGAGAGGGAAGCGGAAUUCCACGUGUAGCGGUGAAAUGCGUAGAGAUGUGGAGGAACACCAGUGGCGAAGGCGGCUUUCUGGUCUGUAACUGACGCUGAGGCGCGAAAGCGUGGGGAGCAAACAGG